AUUGAACGCUGGCGGCAGGCCUAACACAUGCAAGUCGAACGGUAACAGGAAGAAGCUUGCUUCUUUGCUGACGAGUGGCGGACGGGUGAGUAAUGUCUGGGAAACUGCCUGAUGGAGGGGGAUAACUACUGGAAACGGUAGCUAAUACCGCAUAACGUCGCAAGACCAAAGAGGGGGACCUUCGGGCCUCUUGCCAUCGGAUGUGCCCAGAUGGGAUUAGCUUGUUGGUGGGGUAACGGCUCACCAAGGCGACGAUCCCUAGCUGGUCUGAGAGGAUGACCAGCCACACUGGAACUGAGACACGGUCCAGACUCCUACGGGAGGCAGCAGUGGGGAAUAUUGCACAAUGGGCGCAAGCCUGAUGCAGCCAUGCCGCGUGUAUGAAGAAGGCCUUCGGGUUGUAAAGUACUUUCAGCGGGGAGGAAGGGAGUAAAGUUAAUACCUUUGCUCAUUGACGUUACCCGCAGAAGAAGCACCGGCUAACUCCGCG
rnacentral:rRNA from 1 species